rnacentral:lncRNA from 1 species
AUGUUUUUUCAUCAUCUGUUGACGAUUGAUGAACGUAUAUAUGGUUUCAUCUGCAGUCAUAUGGUAUAUAUGGUUUCAUCUGCAGUCAUAUGGUAUAUAUGGUUUCAUCUGCAGUCAUAUGGUAUAUAUGGUUUCAUCUGCAGUCAUAUGGUAUAUAUGGUUUCAUCUGCAGUCAUAUGGUAUAUAUGGUUUCAUCUGCAGUCAUAUGGUAUAUAUGGUUUCAUCUGCAGUCAUAUGGUAUAUAUGGUUUCAUCUGCAGUCAUAUGGUAUAUAUGGUUUCAUCUGCAGUCAUAUGGUAUAUAUGGUUUCAUCUGCAGUCAUAUGGCAUAUAUGGUUUCAUCUGCAGUCAUAUGGUAUAUAUGGUUUCAUCUGCAGUCAUAUGGUAUAUAUGGUUUCAUCUGCAGUCAUAUGGUAUAUAUGGUUUCAUCUGCAGUCAUAUGGUAUAUAUGGUUUCAUCUGCAGUCAUAUGGUAUAUAUGGUUUCAUCUGCAGUCAUAUGGUAUAUAUGGUUUCAUCUGCAGUCAUAUGGUAUAUAUGGUUUCAUCUGCAGUCAUAUGGUAUAUAUGGUUUCAUCUGCAGUCAUAUGGUAUAUAUGGUUUCAUCUGCAGUCAUAUGGUAUAUAUGGUUUCAUCUGCAGUCAUAUGGUAUAUAUGGUUUCAUUUGCAGUCAUAUGGCAUAUAUGGUUUCAUCUGCAGUCAUAUGGUAUAUAUGGUUUCAUCUGCAGUCAUAUGGUAUAUAUGGUUUCAUCUGCAGUCAUAUGGUAUAUAUGGUUUCAUCUGCAGUCAUAUGGUAUAUAUGGUUUCAUCUGCAGUCAUAUGGUAUAUAUGGUUUCAUCUGCAGUCAUAUGGCAUAUAUGGUUUCAUCUGCAGUCAUAUGGUAUAUAUGGUUUCAUCUGCAGUCAUAUGGUAUAUAUGGUUUCAUCUGCAGUCAUAUGGUAUAUAUGGUUUCAUCUGCAGUCAUAUGGUAUAUAUGGUGCUAUGUGACCAUAGUAUUUUGUGUUUUUUUUCCAGUAGAUGGCGCUGAUCAAUCACAAGAAAAUAAACAAAUGUAG